UACGAAGGGGGCUAGCGUUGCUCGGAAUCACUGGGCGUAAAGCGCACGUAGGCGGCUUAUUAAGUCAGAGGUGAAAUCCUGGAGCUCAACUCCAGAACUGCCUUUGAUACUGAUGAGCUUGAGUUCGGGAGAGGUGAGUGGAACUGCGAGUGUAGAGGUGAAAUUCGUAGAUAUUCGCAAGAACACCAGUGGCGAAGGCGGCUCACUGGCCCGAUACUGACGCUGAGGUGCGAAAGCGUGGGGAGCAAACAGGG
rnacentral:rRNA from 1 species